GACGAACGCUGGCGGCGUGCUUAACACAUGCAAGUCGAACGGAAAGGCCCUGCUUUUGUGGGGUGCUCGAGUGGCGAACGGGUGAGUAACACGUGAGUAACCUGCCCUUGACUUUGGGAUAACUUCAGGAAACUGGGGCUAAUACCGGAUAGGAGCUCCUGCUGCAUGGUGGGGGUUGGAAAGUUUCGGCGGUUGUGGAUGGACUCGCGGCUUAUCAGCUUGUUGGUGGGGUAGUGGCUUACCAAGGCUUUGACGGGUAGCCGGCCUGGGAGGGUGACCGGCCACAUUGGGACUGAGGUACGGCCCAGACUCCUACGGGAGGCAGCAGUGGGGAAUAUUGCACAAUGGGCGGAAGCCUGAUGCAGCAACGCCGCGUGCGGGAUGACGGCCUUCGGGUUGUAAACCGCUUUCGCCUGUGACGAAGCGUGAGUGACGGUAAUGGGUAAAGAAGCACCGGCUAACUACGUG
rnacentral:rRNA from 1 species